GAAGUUACCUGGCAGGGAAGACACCUUGAUCACGAAGGAGGUUUUCCCAGGGUGAGGCUCGUCCAUUGCACUCUGGGUAUGCUGAACCCUGCGAUUUCCCCAAAUGCGAAAACUCGACUGCAUAAUUUGUGGUCAUCCUCAUCUGGAUUGGACCAAGGGC